UUUCACGUGCAAAAUAUCACACACUUGCCUUUGAGACUCAAGAGGAAAAGGAAUUCAUUGACUUCCCUCAGAGAAGCUGGUUUACAGGGAGCCCUCAGACGAGGAUGAAGCCUGCUGGGCUGGUGAAGAGUUGACAUGCAUUUCCUGGAAGGUAUCACCUUGCUAUUACACCUUCAAGAUCUAAAAGUCUUUAAGUGAUAAAACCCCUCCACAUCCCAACCUUCUCAGAGCUGGUCCUGCACCGCUGGAGGAUCCGCAGGCAGUGAAGUGGACCUGGACACAUGAGAACAUGCACGUUUAAAACUUCAAGGGGCCUUUUCUAGUGUUUUUUUUUUUAAUCAAUUUUUAAUCACAGUUCACAUUAUAAAGUGCAAUUACAUUAUGACACAAUAGAGACACAUGUGUAUAUACUAUAUAGAUACAAUUAAAGUAAAAUUUUAAUGAAA